rnacentral:lncRNA from 1 species
GUGUCCUUUUUAUCAGCUUUUGUCCACUGUUAUCUACAAAACACGAGCGAAAUCGGGCCAAGGUAUUCCCACAUUGUGCUCUCGGGUGUAACAUGCACUGCCAUAUCGUUCGGGAACUUUGCCGCAAUAUUGUUUGACACAUAUAUCAUGGACGGUCUUCCGUAUGUACAGGGAAUUUAUUCAAUGCUACAGGCGCAGCUUCUCAUCGUAAGCCGCAUUAGUGCAACACCUUUCCUUUAGUUUGAGCGAACAUGUACCACGCUUACACGACGCAUUUCAAUGUCUAUUUCAU